GGAGGUGUGGCAGAGCGGCCUAAUGCACCAGUCUUGAAAACUGGAGUCGGCGCGAGUCGACCGUGGGUUCAAAUCCCUCCGCCUCCG
rnacentral:tRNA from 1 species